GUGUCCCCCCCUCCCCAUCUCCCAGGGCAUCGCGGGGACGGACGUGGCCAAGGAGGCCUCGGACAUCAUCCUGACGGACGACAACUUCUCCAGCAUCGUGGCCGCCGUCAUGUGGGGCCGCAACGUCUACGACAGCAUCGCCAAGUUCCUCCAGUUCCAGCUCACCGUCAACGUGGUGGCCGUCGUGGUGGCCUUCACCGGCGCCUGCAUCACCCAGGUGGGGCGCCGCCCGCCCCGCCCCACACGUGCGGGAGAGGUCCUACAGCCCAUGGGAGAUGUUGGGAGAGGUUCCUCACCCCAUGGGAGAUGUUGGGAGAGGUUCCUCACCCCAUGGGAGAUGUUUUACAUCCAUGGGAGAUGUUGGGAGAGGUCCUACAACCCAUAGGAGAUGUUGGGAGAGGUCCCUCACCCCAUGGGAGAUGUUCUACACCCUGUAGGAGAUGGUGGGAGAGGUCCCUCACCCCAUGGGAGAUGUCCUACGCCCCAUGGGAGACGUUGGGCGGUGUCCCUCCCCCCAUGGCCACGUCCCCAAGGCGUGUCCCCCAACCUCGCCCCCGCAGGACUCCCCCCUGAAGGCCGUGCAGAUGCUGUGGGUCAACCUCAUCAUGGACACCUUGGCCUCCCUGGCGCUGGCCACCGAGCCCCCCACGGAGGCCCUGCUGCUGCGCAAGCCCUACGGCCGCGACCAGCCCCUCAUCUCCCGCACCAUGCUGAGGAACAUCCUGGGCCACGCCGCCUACCAGCUCCUCGUCAUCUUCACCCUCCUCUUCGUCGGGGAGCUGCUGCUGGACAUCGACAGCGGGCGGCAGGCCCCCCUGCACGCCCCCCCCUCCGAGCACUACACCAUCAUCUUCAACACCUUCGUCAUGAUGCAGAUCUUCAACGAGGUCAACGCCCGCAAGGUCCACGGCGAGAGGAACGUCUUCCAGGGCGUCUUCGCCAACCCCGUCUUCUGCACCAUCGUCCUCGGCACCUUCGCCGUCCAGGUGGGGACCCCAAAAACCAGGGGGGACACCCCAAAACCAUGGGGGGGGGGCACCCCAACCCAUGGGGGGGGCACCCAACUUGUGGUGGGACCCAUGGGGACGUCUUGAUGUGGGGAGAACAUGGAGACCUUGUUGUCCCCUCCAUUGUCCCAGGGGGCUUGGCCACCUGGGGGGGAGACGGGGGGCACCCCGACAU
rnacentral:lncRNA from 1 species